rnacentral:rRNA from 1 species
AAGCCUUCGCUCUUGCAUAAUUCGAUAACGAACGAGACCUUAACCUGCUAAAUAGCCAGGCCGGCUUUCGCUGGUCGCCGGCUUCUUAGAGGGACUGUCAGCGUCUAGCUGACGGAAGUUUGAGGCAAUAACAGGUCUGUGAUGCCCUUAGAUGUUCUGGGCCGCACGCGCGCUACAUUGACCGAGCCAGCGAGUUUUUUUCCCUUGGCCGGAAGGUCUGGGUAAUCUUGUGAAACUCUGUUGUGCUGGGGAUAGAGCAUUGCAAUUAUUGCUCUUCAACGAGGAAUACAUAGUAAGCGGAGUCCUCAGCUCGCGUGAUCCGACUUGCCA